rnacentral:lncRNA from 1 species
AUCUCAGCCCAAUUGAGGUUUGUUCUUGCUUUUGGGCUGGACCCAAGUUGGGUUGGGCUGCUGAAAUUCUGCACUGAAUUCACUUGGGCUUCAACUUUCUUUGCUGGAUAUUGGGCCUCAAAUUUCAGUUGAUGGGCUGCUGGACUUAGACUUCGCAGGCUUCAUGGCUGAAGAAGAAGGCCCAAAGAAGCUGCUGGUUCUGUUGAAAUCAAUUCGUGGGCUUCAAUGGCCCAACUG